rnacentral:rRNA from 1 species
UACGGAGGGUGCGAGCGUUGUCCGGAAUCACUGGGCGUAAAGGGCGCGUAGGUGGCCGAGCAAGGUCGCGGUGAAAGCCCGGGGCUCAACCCCAGGUCGGCCGUGGCAACUACUGGGCUGGAGCACUGUAGGGGCGGGUGGAAUUCCGGGUGUAGCGGUGGAAUGCGCAGAUAUCAGGAGGAACACCGAUGGCGAAGGCAGUUCUCUGGGCCGUAACUGACGCUGAGGAGCGAAAGCGUGGGGAGCGAACAGG